AACGAACGCUGGUGGCAUGCCUAAUACAUGCAAGUCGAACGAGAAAGCACUUCGGUGUGAGUAUAGUGGCGCACGGGUGAGUAACGCGUAGAUGAUAUGCCUUUUAGUGGGGGACAACAGUUGGAAACGACUGCUAAUACCGCAUAAGCUUGGUGACAUUGGAAAAACCAAGGAAAGGGGGCUUCGGCUCUCGCUAGAAGAUUGGUCUGCGUGACAUUAGCUUGUUGGUGGGGUAAUGGCCUACCAAGGCGACGAUGUCUAGCUGGUCUGAGAGGAUGAUCAGUCACACUGGAACUGAGACACGGUCCAGACUCCUACGGGAGGCAGCAGUAGGGAAUAUUGCACAAUGGGGGAAACCCUGAUGCAGCAAUGCCACGUGAGUGAGGAAUGCCUUCGGGUUGUAAAGCUCUGUCCUAUAGGAAGAACGGCAUUAAGGUUAAUACCCAUAGUGUUUGACGGUACUAUAGAAGAAAGCACCGGCUAACUCCGUGCC
rnacentral:rRNA from 1 species